CCUACGGGUGGCAGCAGUGAGGAAUAUUUGUCAAUGGACGAGAGUCUGAACCAGCCAAGUAGCGUGAAGGAUGACUGCCCUAUGGGUUGUAAACUUCUUUUAUAUGGGAAUAAAACGUUCCACGUGUGGGAUUUUGUAUGUACCAUAUGAAUAAGGAUCGGCUAACUCCGUGCCAGCAGCCGCGGUAAUACGGAGGAGCCGAGCGUUAUCCGGAUUUAUUGGGUUUAAAGGGAGCGUAGGUGGAUUGUUAAGUCAGUUGUGAAAGUUUGCGGCUCAACCGUAAAAUUGCAGUUGAAACUGGCAGUCUUGAGUACAGUAGAGGUGGGCGGAAUUCGUGGUGUAGCGGUGAAAUGCUUAGAUAUCACGAAGAACUCCGAUUGCGAAGGCAGUUCACUGGACUGCAACUGACACUGAGGCUCGAAAGUGUGGGUAUCAAACAGGAUUAGAUACCCCAGUAGUC
rnacentral:rRNA from 1 species